UCACCAGUUUCUUUUCACGAAUACCGAGAGAAACCGAGCGGUGUUCUUCGUGUUCUUCAUAAUCAAACGAAGAUUUGAAGGUGUUAUUGGAAUCCGAUGGAGGUGUAUGAAUAGUCAAAACGAAGCUAUCGACGCGUAGAAUCUAGUUUAAUCAUCCGUUUGUGUGCAGAUUCAACAGGUGAUUUUAGAUUAAUUUUAUAAAAUUCGAAUUAUUUGCUUUUAAAUGUUGAAUUUUUGCAAACGAUUCCGUUUAUGUGAUUUGAUGAUGUCAUGUUGUAGAGCGUGUUUUUCUCGUCGUUUUGGUAUAUUAUAUGUUGAAUUUCGAGUUCGGUAACAUAUAGAAAAUGGGGUUUAAUUCUUGUAAGCAUGUUCUUGGUGUUCUUGAGUUUCUUCGCCGGAAACUUUGAGUUUUGCCGGAUUUUUCGUUCGGUUGAAUCUGGGUAUAAACUAAAUAUGCCACUAGGUAGAUCGUAGGGAUAUGAGUUGAAUGGUGUAGAGAAAACGAGCAACGGAGGCGGGUUAUGGCCGCCGGAAAAUGUCGCCACCGUCGCUUACGGGGCGUUUUCCGGCCAGAUGGCCGCGUUUCUGCAUAAGUUAAGCUGUGAAAUGAGUUUGUGGGAGUGUGGGUAAGUGAUCUGGAGAGUUUGGAGGCCGUUGGAGGCCGGAGGAGCAUUUUCCGGCGACCUGGGGGCGGUGGCGGUGUAAAACUGCUAAACGGCCCCCAGGGUUUGAAAGAUGAUGAAGAUGUUGUACUCGGGUUUUGAAACUUACAAAUUACCCCCUGUAACUUCUAAAAGUUACAGUUUGAACCUUGGCCGAAAACUUUCAAAAGUUUACAAAAUAAACCUUUUGAUUUAAUUUUCUAAAAUUGUUUUAUUUAAUUAUUUUAAAUUCCAAAAAUAGUUUUUAAUUAUUUCUUUAUUCAAAAAUAAAUCUAAAUUAGUUUAUUAAUUAAUUUUAAUUAGUAAUUAAUUAUUUUAAUUGGUCAAUUAAUUUAAAUAUUAAUUGAUUAAUUAUUUUAAUUAAUUAUUAAUUGAUUUUAAUUGAUUAAUUAAUUGGAUUUAAUUAUCCUUUUUGAUUUAAAAAUUCCGAAAAAUAGUUUCGAGCUUUGAAAUAUUUUUCUAAAUUAUUUUCAAGGCUCUAUUAUUGUUUAUGAAUGAUUUCAAGUCCAAUUUCAAGUAUUUGGGACUUGAUUAUUUAUCCGAAAAGUGAUUCUUUUAUCGAGUUUAAUUCCGAAAAAUGUUUAAAAAUUCCAGAAAAUUCCCGAAAAAUCAUUUUUAACCCAAGAGUUGAUUUGAUAUCAAUCGGGGUGGGAAACCUUAUGUGUAAUGUGUUGUCUGCUAUCUGUUUGAUGUGUUAUGUGCCGAUAGAGGAGUUAGAAAACGGUUUUAAACAUAUCUUUUGAUCCGUAAGUCGGAAUCGAGUGAAACGAAAGAGAGGCAGAAGCUUAUAAAGUCUAGUUGGAUAUAACAUAAUAAUAUGAUGGAGUCGAGAAUGUGAAUAAUUGUUGUUAAAUGUGCCGAAUGUGAUUAUAUGUUAUUGGAUUGUUAUUAAUUGAUGAUUACGUGAUAUAUAUGUCUAUUCCUGAUAUUAUAUACGUGAUAAAUGACUUAUAUGACNGAUUUGGAUGACAUAGUGUCGUGANNNNNNNNNNNNNNNNNNNNNNNNNNNNNNNNNNNNNNNNNNNNNNNNNNNNNNNNNNNNNNNNNNNNNNNNNNNNNNNNNNNNNNNGGCGAGAUGAUGUCGGAUUUCGAUAGGAUUCAUAUGAUAAGUGAUUGGUAAUAUGUUAUGUGGAAUACGACUUGACUAUAUGAUAGAGUCAAAGCAUGAUUACGUGUUAAGUGAUAUGUGAUAAGUUUAAAGGGGUAUAUAAGUAGGUAUCGAUAUACGUGAUAUGUAUAUGCGAUAUAUUGUUUAGUGACUAUGGUAUUAUCUUAUUUUACGUGUUAAGUGAUAUGUGAUAAGUUUAAAGGGGUAUAUAAGUGGGUAUCGAUAUGCGUGAUAUGUAUAUACGAUCGAUUGAUUAGUGAUUAUAUUAUUAUCUUAUUCUCGUUAAGGAUUGGACGAGACGUGGAUGACCGAAGACGUUCAGAAGGACAAGUGGUGUUCCAAAGCGAAUAAAGAAUGAGUCGAGUAAGCGAAGUGGUGUGGCAAAUAGGGUAUAGCCAGAGAUGGUCUAGAGACUAUGAUAUGCAUAGAGUAUGAAGGUGGAAAGAUGAGAAUGAGCUGUGAGACGGGAGUCAGAUUUAAGGCAAGUAUCCUGAACCCUUCUUUUGGAUAUCUUGCGAUUAUUCUGAUCCAUUCUUUUCGUAUGUGUUGCAAAUAUUCGUUCCUCUCUUUUCAUAUUUGACAGUGUAAAUAUUUUAUCCAUCCUUUUCUAAACCUCAAAAAUUCAGAUAAUUCCAGUUUUACAAAUUAAUUCGAAGUUCAGAUUGUCAUUGAAGCAUGUGUUGCUCAGUGAUAGUUAGAGCUUUGAAUGAAUUGGGAUCUUCUUGAUUAUUCAAACCGCCAUUGUCAUGCUGGUUAGCAGGCUGAAUUCAGUUGCUUAGCCGAUAAUGGAGGAUACUGAAUAGUUAAGGAUUUAGCAGGCUAAAUUCAGUUGCUUAGCCGAUAAUGGAGGAUACUGAAUAGUUAAGGAUUUCCUGAACUAUGAUUUAUGGAAGGAUGGACUCUGGUUUAUGAAAAGUUGAUUAUCAAAGUUUGAUUUGGAAUUAUUCUAUCAUUGAUAUUGAUUGUGUUUAUGUUUUGUUGUUAUACGUUGACCUGUUAUUGAAUUAUAGAAUUGGAUUAUUGUUUUUAUAUAAACCUGUGGACCAGAUUCGUGGUCAUGUUAGGCCAAUGAGUGCCUUGGAUCCAGUGAUAGAGCAUGGCGGGGCCUGCUCGGGGUUAGUGCGGAACUGAUCAGCUGCCUAACCUUGGUUUUAAUUAAAAUGUGAUAGUCCAAUUCAAUAAUUCUUUUGGAAAAAUUGAAUUCCUCAGUAUUCAAUUGCUGCAAGGUAUUGUGAUUUUCUUAUACAAUACCUAAACUCGUGAACUCAGGUUGAAUCCUUUUAUAUCUUGAACUCUUGAACUUCUGUUAUAUCAUUUCAGAAUUAUCACUGUUUAUUACUACUUGCGGAGCAUUGUUGCUCACCCUUGCUAUUCCUUUCUAACCAUUUCAGAAAGGCUUAAAGAUGAGAUGAUUGAUUGAGAUUGUGAGUAAGGCUAAUGCUAGGCGAGGAGACAGAGUUGAGGAUCCAGUGGUCGAGGAGUGUUCAGGAAAGUUGAUGAGGUUGGUGCAAGCUGGAAUAGUUGACAGUGAUUCUUCUUAUCGAAGAUGAUCUGAUUUGGUAAGAGAUGUUGUGUAAUAAUAGUGGUAGAUUCUAAUUUCAAUACUGUAACCUGGAUGCGAUCCUGUUGUUUUGGGGGGUUUAAAUGUUCUCUUUUAAAUCUUUUAUUUAACGUCUUUCAAAUCUUUUAUUAAAUGUUUUCAAGUUUUAAAUCUUUUGGAUUUUCAUUAUCUUUAAAAAAAAAAAAAAAAAUACAGGUUUUCAAGGGUGUUUUUAAAAGGUUUUGUGUGGUGACGUCAGAAUCCAGGCCCCCGGAUUCCUGGACUGUCACAGUUGGUAUCAGAGCAACAGGUUAUAAGUAUUUGAAAUUAGAAUAUAGAUCCUAGUUAUAGGUUUUCUAGAGAAGAAUGUGGUGUAACCUCACAUAGAGGUAUGGUCGGACUAUUUAGGAAUAGUCUAGAAAUGUGAGUGAAGCAUAGAGUUUAGUUAGAUGAUCAAGUUAAGUGGGGAUAUUUAAAGAGAUUAGGAUUCUUAAGUUUAGACGUAUGAUUUCUAGUAUGUUGAUUAAUUGAGAUAGUGAAUUGUGGAAAAGGUCAGUAUUAGACCUAUAUAGAAGAGUUUGAUAGUAAAUGAUUGAGUUGAGAAUGGUGAAAAUGCAGAGUUCAGAGUAUUCUGACUAUACUGCAUAGUUAAAAAUGGUCUAUGGUAUUGAUUUGAGAAUGAUAAAGAUGCAUGGUUCAUAGUAUGUUGACCAUGUCAGAUAUUUGGAAAAGGUAUAUUGUUUUAGUGAGAUGUGAAGAGUUACUGUAAGAUAUGAGUUGUACUGAAUUAGAAGGAGAGAUUUGUAGAUAGAGGUUGAUAGAUGAGAAGUGCAUGAUAGAGAGUAUGUGGAAUUGAGUCCAGUUAUUAGAGAUGAUGUCUACGAGUCAAUUAGAACGUUAGUCCUCGACGACAACGCUUCAAGUUAAUCGGGAUUUCAAAUGGCAUCAAGGUGGGCCCAUAACCCACAGGUUGAUGAUCCAGACAAUCGAAGAUACGUUACGUGUUUGUGCUAUGGAUUUCAAAGGCAACUGGGAUAAAGAAGAAGAAUGUAAACUACUUGGGCCAGAGUUAUUACGGACGAUAACGUCUACGAUGACAUCUUACGAGACUAUUACGAGUCAAAUCGAUUGAUUGUCGAGAACGUUGAAAGGAUAACAUAAAUUGAAUAACGAUUUCGUAAAGUAGAGUGGGAAUUUGAGAAGACCUUGGCAAUAUCUCUCUUCAACUAAAAAUUCUUUUGAUUGUUUUCUCAUCAGUGAGAUAUUAUCAUGAUAUCUUUUCUAUAAAAGUUUUGAUAAAUGAGAUCUUCAAUUUCUCAAAUUCUAAGAUGAUAAUGAUAUUGAUUAUUGGUGUGAGUUAGUAUUGAAUCGGUGUAUGAUAAAGGCGUGUUUAUGAAGAGACAGUGGAAUUCCUUGAUAUUCUUUCAUCAUCCUUGAUAUUCCUUGAUGUUCUUUGAUAUUCUCGAGAUUCUUUGACAUUCGUUGAUAUUCCUUGACCAAUGGUGAAAAUGCAGAGUUCAGAGUAUUCUGACUAUACUGCAUAGUUAAAAAUGGUCUAUGGUAUUGAUUUGAGAAUGAUAAAGAUGCAUGGUUCAUAGUAUGUUGACCAUGUCAGAUAUUUGGAAAAGGUAUAUUGUUUUAGUGAGAUGUGAAGAGUUACUGUAAGAUAUGAGUUGUACUGAAUUAGAAGGAGAGAUUUGUAGAUAGAGGUUGAUAGAUGAGAAGUGCAUGAUAGAGAGUAUGUGGAAUUGAGUCCAGUUAUUAGAGAUGAUGUCUACGAGUAAGUUAGAACGUUAGUCCUCGACGACAACGCUUCGAGCUAAUCGGGAUUUCAAAUGGCAUCAAGGUGGGCCCAUAACCCACAGGUUGAUGAUCCAGACAAUCGAAGAUACGUUACGUGUUUGUGCUAUGGAUUUCAAAGGCAACUGGGAUAAAGAAGAAGAAUGUAAACUACUUGGGCCAGAGUUAUUACGGACGAUAACGUCUACGAUGACAUCUUACGAGACUAUUACGAGUCAAAUCGAUUGAUUGUCGAGAACGUUGAAAGGAUAACAUAAAUUGAAUAACGAUUUCGUAAAGUAGAGUGGGAAUUUGAGAAGACCUUGGCAAUAUCUCUCUUCAACUAAAAAUUCUUUUGAUUGUUUUCUCAUCAGUGAGAUAUUAUCAUGAUAUCUUUUCUAUAAAAGUUUUGAUAAAUGAGAUCUUCAAUUUCUCAAAUUCUAAGAUGAUAAUGAUAUUGAUUAUUGGUGUGAGUUAGUAUUGAAUCGGUGUAUGAUAAAGGCGUGUUAUGAAGAGACAGUGGAAUUCCUUGAUAUUAUUGAUAUUCUGUGAUAUCCCUUGAUAUUCUUCCAUAUUCUUUGAUAUCCCUUAAUAUUCGUUGAUAUUCGUUGACAUUCUUUGACACUCUUUGAUAUUCCUUGAUAUCUUUUCGAUAUUCCUUAAUAUAUUCCUCGAUAAUCCUUAACAUUCCUUGAUGCUCCUUGAGAUUUCUUGGAUUCUUUCCAUCUGAUUGGGAUGAACAACCCUAUGUAUAGGGGACACAAGGUAUACCUGUCUGUGUGAUAGGAGUUGGAUGGGACGCCAUCACUUGUGUGUGUUGUGAUUACAAGAAGGUUAAAAACCUUUAGUAGUGUCUAAUAUGGACACGCAACAUGAAGUUCAUUUGAUCGUAUUGAUCUCCCAGUCACUCUUGUAUUCCAAUGUGACCUAUUUUGAAAAUAUCUUGUUCCUCCGAAAUUCCCAAAGAUUGAUUCUUGGGAAAUGAAGUUUGCAAUUGUGAAGGUUUUGAUUCUCCUAUUUCUUUAACUUUGAAGGGUAUGCCAAAGUUGAGCAAAGGCGGACGAGCAUGUGAUAUUAUGAAGCGUGUACAAUGAUCUUAUAAAUGAUACGUUUUAGUUCUCAUCGCGGAUUCUGAGGACAGAAUCCUUAUAAGGGGGUGGAAUGUAAUAUCCCAUAUUAUUAAAUUUAGAUUUGAUUAUUAUAAAUCUAUUUGUCUAGAUAUUAUUGUUGUCUGUAGUUGAAUAUUGAUGUGAUUAUGUGAAAUAGUUGUAUGUGAUUAUACUUGUUUCAUGGAUUAAUAUGGAUUUUACAGAUUUUUCGUCCUCCUUCUUUCUUUGAUUCCGAGGACGGAAUCCCUAUAAGGAGGGUAGAUUGUAAUGACCCGGAUUUUUAAAAAUUUUUAUUAGUAUUAAAAGUGAUUUUCUUUAAAGAAGGGUCGAUAAUCCCUAAUAUUCUUGAUGCUCCUUGAGAUUUCUUGGAUUCUUUCCAUCUGAUUGGGAUGAACAACCCUAUGUAUAGGGGACACAAGGUAUACCUGUCUGUGUGAUAGGAGUUGGAUGGGACGCCAUCACUUGUGUGUGUUGUGAUUACAAGAAGGUUAACAACCUUUAGUAGUGUCUAAUAUGGACACGCAACAUUAAGUUCAUUUGAUCGUAUUGAUCUCCCAGUCAUUCUUGUAUUCCAAUGUCACCUAUUUUGAAAACAUCUUGUUCUAUUCGAAAAUUCCCAAAGAUCGAUUCUUGGGAAAUGAAUUUUGCAAUCGCGAAAGUGUGAUUUUCCUUUUCCAUUAAAGUCAAAGGUAUGCCAAGAUCAAUCGAAGGUGGAUGACGAUAUGAUAUUACGAAGUGUGUACGUUUUAGUUUCUUCGGAGGAUUCCGAGGACGGAAUCCUUAUAAGGGGGGUAGAAUGUAAUAUCCCAUAUUAUUAAAUUUAGAUUUGAUUAUUAUAAAUCUAUUUGUCUAAAUAUUAUUGUUGGCUUUAGUUGAAAAGUGAAUUGAUUAUGUGAAUAGUUUUAUGUGAUUAUACUUGUUAUGUGGAUUAAUAUGGAUUUUACAGAUUAUGCGUCCUCCUUCUUUCUCUGAUUCCGAGGACGGAAUCCCUAUAAGGAGGGUAGAUUGUAAUAACCCGGAUUUUAAAAAUAUUUUUAUUAAUAUUAUAAAUGAUUUUCUUAAAAAGAAAGGAAUAAGAUUUAAUAUUUUAUUCCAGUUUAAUGAGUUUUCAAGGUUUUAUAUUUAAACCCCGGGUUAUUGUGUUAUUGAUAAAUAAUUGUAUUUUCAAAACUGAUUUUCAUAUAUUGUUUUGAAAAUUCUGUAUGAAUAUUAUGUGAAUAUAUGUGUUAUGUGAUUAAGUGGUAUUGGUGGAUUUGUUGGUUAAUUAAUUAUGGUUAAUUAUGAGUAUUAUAUGAUUAAUAUAUGAAUUUUUGUGAAUUUUAUAUUAUCUGGUUUAUUGCGUUAACUGCUCAUAUGUGUUCGUAUUUGAGAGAUUUCAAUUUCUAUAUGCUCAGGAGAAAAUAUAGUUUAUUUGGAUAUUUUCAUAUCGAUUUAUGGAAUGUUAGAUGAUUUUAUAAUCGAUUUACGGAUUUAAUUGUGUAUAUUUAUAUUUAUUUAUUAAUUAUUUGACUUCCGUAAAACCGUCCACUCGUAACGAGGUACCAAAUUUUCUUCCCGGAAGUUUCAACAAAACUCACCUUUAGCCUAAUUUGAAUAUUCCGGACAUUUUUCGUGUUUUGACUUUUUCGAUCCGGAGUACGGUUUUCCCCGGAGUCGGUCCGGCGGAGUUUUUCGGGUAUUGUAAUUGUUGAUAAUUAUCCAGUUUGUCUCGAUAAACGUGAAACGAGAUAUUUUCUUCAUCCUUAUCUUGUCAUAAUUGCCAUGGGACCCGCAGACCAAUAAUUGAGUUAAAAAGCCCCGUUUUGAUGAUUAUCUCGAAAACCAGUAUCGAUUGGACCCCGCUUUAUUAAUAUAAAGCUACUAAAUAUGUAUUUUCAUGUCAUAAACGAUCCAAAGGGGUACCAAUUAUUUGUAAAUAUAAAUAUAUCUUUCUAGAGCUUAUUUUCACCGUAGAAAUCAUUUCACCAGUUUCUCUGCACGAAUACCGAGAGAAACCGAGCGGUGUUCUUCGUGUUCUUCAUAAUCAAACGUGGAUUUGAAGGCGUUAUUGGAGUCAGAAUCAAGCGUGCGAAUAGUCAAAUCGAAGAUAUCGAAGAGUAGAACCCAGAUCAAUCAUCAAAAACAACAUGAGAUUCACAGGUAGGGAGUAAUUGAAGGUUUAAAAUUCGAAGUACUAUGAUUUGAAUAGUGAAUUUUUGCAAACGAUGUUGUUUGAUUGUUUUGAUGAUUCCAUGUUGUAGAGCAUCUUCUGCCAUUCGUUUUCAUAUAUCAUAUGUUAGAUUUUGAGUCCAGUAACAUGCUCAAAUAUGUGUUUGAUUCUUCGAAAUUGUAAACUAGGGUUCUUGAGCGAGUUUGAAUGUUUCAAAUUGGGUUUGGGGGUUUCUUAUCCUGUAAAUCUGGGCUGUUUUUGUUGGAAUCAUCGUGUAGAGCUUGAAGAGGGGAAUCGUUUGAUGAUAAGAAGGUGUGUGGAGGAAGCCAGGAGCGUCCCCGCCGGAGCUGCGAAGCUAGCCGGCGGUGAGCCCUGUUCUUCAUCGUUUUCCGGCCAUAAUCGGCCGCCUUUAAUGAUUUUGAGUGUAUAUAUGUGAUGCUAGGAGUGUGUGUAACUGGUCUGGAGGUUCUGGGGUCGAACGGCGGUCUGCAACGCCGUUUCCGGCGAGUCGGGGCGCCGGCGGUAUCAAAUUACCGUUUGGUACCCUGGCUUUUGGAAACAGUGAAGUUUUAGUAUUCUCGUUUCUGUUUUAGCAAGACAGACCCUAAACUUUUCAGAGUUUACACUUUAAACCCUGGACAAAACUUUCAAAAGUUUACACUUUAAACCUUUUGAAUUUAAUUGUCAAAAAUUGUUUUAUUUAAUUAUUUUAAAUUCCAAAAAUAGUUUUUAAUUAUUUAUUUAUUCAAAAAUAAAUCUAAAUUAGUUUAUUAAUUACUUUUAAUUAGUAAUUAAUUAUUUUAAUUGGUCAAUUAAUUUAAAUAUUAAUUGAUUAAUUAUUUUAAUUAAUUAUUAAUUGAUUUUAAUUGAUUAAUUAAUUGGAUUUAAUUAUUCUUUUUGAUUUAAAAAUUCUGAAAAAUAGUUUCGAGCUUUGAAAUAUUUUUCUAAAUUAUGUUCAAGGCUCGACAAUUGUUUAUGAAUGAUUUCAAGUCCAAUUUCAAGUAUUUGGGACUUGAUUAUUUAUCCGAAAAGUGAUUCUUUUAUCGAUUUUAAUUCCGAAAAAUGUUUAAAAAUUCCAGAAAAUUCCCGAAAAAUCAUUUUUAACCCAAGACUUGAUUUAAUAUCAAUUGGGAUGGGAAACCUUAUGUGUUGUGUGUUGUCUGCUAUUGGUUGGAUGUGUUAUGUGCCGAUAGGAGAGUGAGAAAACUGUUUUGAGCAUAACUUUUGAUCCGUAAGUCGGAAUCAAGUGAAACGAAAGAGAGACAGAAGCUUAUAACGUCUAUUUUAAUAUGAUGUGACUAUAUGGCUGAGUCUAUAAGGUGAAUAAUUGUUGAUAAGUAUGCAUAAUGUGAUAAUAUGUGAUCUAAGUGCUAUCAAGUGAUGAUUAUGUGAAGUACGUGUUAGUUUUGAUAUUGUGAAGUGAUAAAUGAUUCGUAUGAUUGAUAUUGGAUAAGAAUAUAUGGAUUAUAGUUAUUGGAUUUUGUUGGUUGAUUAAUGAUUGAGAUAGGAUAAUAGGUGGAUAGUCUUAUACAUAGACGAGACGAUGUCGGAUUUUCGAUAAGGAUUUAUAUGAUAAUUGAUUGGUGAUAUGUUAUGUGGAAUAUGAUUGACUAUAUGUUAGAGUCAAAGCAUGCUUAUGUGUUACGUGGUAUCUGAUAAGUUUAAAGGGAUAUAUAAGUGGGUAUCGGUAUACGUGAUAUGUAUAUGCGAUAUAUUGUUUAGUGACUAUAGUAUUAUCUUAUUCUCGUAAAGGAUUUGGACGAGACGUGUACGCUCGAAGACGUCAGGAAGUCGAAAUGGUAUUGCAAAGCGAAUAAGGGAUGAAUCGAGUAAGCGAAGCGAUGUGGCGAAUAGAGUAUAGCUAGAGAUGGUCUAGAGAUUACGAGAUGCAUAGAUUGUGAAAGUUGAAAGAUGAGAUUGAGCUGUGAAACUGGAGUCAGAUUUAAGGCAAGUAUCCUAAACCCUUCUCUUGGAUAUAUUGCAAAUAUUCUGAUCCAUUCCUUUGGUAUAUGUUUCAAGUAUUCAUACCUUUCUUUUCAAUGUUCGAAAGUGCGAGUAUUCUGACCCAUUCUUUCUAAUCUUCAAGUUUCUAAAGAAUUUCCGUUUUACAAAUUAAUUCGAAGUUCAGAUUGUCAUUGAAGCAUGUGUUGCUCAGUGAUAGUUAGAGCUUUGAAUGAAUUGGGAUCUUCUUGAUUAUUCAACCCGCCAUUGUCAUGCUGGUUUAGCAGGCUAAAUUCAGUUGCUUAGCCGAUAAUGGAGGAUACUGAAUAGUUGAGGAUUUCCUGAACUGUGAUUUAUGAAAUGAUGGAUCAUGAUUUAUGAAUAGAUUAUUAUCAAAGUUUGAAUUGGAAUUAUUCUGUUGUUGAUGAUAUUUAUGAUGAUGUUCUGUUAAUUUACAUUGGCUUCUUGAAUUGAAUUAGAGAAUUGGAUUAUUGUUUUUAUAUAAACCUGUGGACCAGAUUCGUGGUCAUGUUAGGCCAAUGAGUGCCUUGGAUCCAGUGAUAGAGCAUGGCGGGGCCUGCUCGGGGUUAGUGCGGAACUGAUCAGCUGCCUAACCUUGGUUUUAAUUAAAAUGUGAUAGUCCAAUUCAAUAAUUCUUUGGAAAGAUUGAAUUUCUCAGUUUAAAUGCUGCAAGGUAUUGUAAAUCAUUCUAUACAAUACCAUGAACUCAUGAACUCAGGUUGAAUCCUCUUAUAUCUUGAACUCGUGAACUUCUGUUAUAUCAUUUCAGAACUAUCAUUGUUUAUUAUUACUUGCUGAGCAUUGUUGCUCACCCUUGCUAUUCCUUUCUAACCAUUUCAGAAAGGCUUAAAGAUGAGAUGAUUGAUUGAGAUUGUGAGUAAGGCCAAUGCUAGGCGAGGAGACAGAGUUGAGGAUCCAGUGGUCGAAGAGUGUUCAGGAAAGUUGAUGAGGCUGGUGCAAGCUGGAAUAGUUGACAGUGAUUCUUCUUAUCGAAGAUGAUCUGAUUUGGUAAGAGAUGUUGUGUAAUAAUAGUGGUAGAUUCUAAUUUCAAUACUGUAACCUGGAUGCGAUCCUGUUGUUUUGGGGGGUUU
rnacentral:lncRNA from 1 species